rnacentral:rRNA from 1 species
GACGAACGCUGGCGGCGUGCUUAACACAUGCAAGUCGAACGGAAAGGCCUCUUUCGGGGGGUACUCGAGUGGCGAACGGGUGAGUAACACGUGAGUAACCUGCCCUUGACUUUGGGAUAACUUCAGGAAACUGGGGCUAAUACCGGAUAGGAGCUCCAGCUGCAUGGUGGGGGUUGGAAAGUUUCGGCGGUUGGGGAUGGACUCGCGGCUUAUCAGCUUGUUGGUGGGGUAGUGGCUUACCAAGGCUUUGACGGGUAGCCGGCCUGAGAGGGUGACCGGCCACAUUGGGAAUGAGGGAAGGGCCAGACCCCCACGGGGGGGAGGAGGGGGGAAUAUUGCACCAUGGGUGGAAGCCUGAUGCAGCAACGCCGUGUGCGGGAUGACGGCCUUCGGGUUGUAAACCGCUUUCGCUCAUGACGAAGCUUUGUGUGACGGUAGUGGGUAAAGAAGCACCGGCUAACUACGUG